rnacentral:rRNA from 1 species
GACGAACGCUGGCGGCGUGCCUAAUACAUGCAAGUCGAACGCAGUGGGGACGGGGGAGGAAAACGUGGGUAACCUCCCAUCAGAGGGGAUAAAACUUGGAAACAGGUGCUAAACCGAUACUGAUGGAUGGACCCGCGGUGCAUUAGCUAGUUGGUGAGGUAACGGCUCACCAAGGCUACGAGGCAUAGCCGGCCUGCGAGGGUGAUCGGCCACACUGGGACUGAGACACGGCCCAGACUCCUACGGGAGGCAGCAGUAGGGAAUCUUCGGCAAUGGGCGAAAGUCUGACCGAGCCACGCCGCGUGAGUGAAGAAGGUUUUCGGAUCGUAAAACUCUUUUGGUAGGGAAGCGUUAUCUAACCAGAAAGCCACGGCUAACUACGUGCCAGCAGCCGCGGUAAUUC